rnacentral:rRNA from 1 species
GACGAACGCUGGCGGCGUGCCUAAUACAUGCAAGUUGAGCGCUGAAGGUUGGUACUUGUACCAACUGGAUGAGCAGCGAACGGGUGAGUAACGCGUGGGGAAUCUGCCUUUGAGCGGGGGACAACAUUUGGAAACGAAUGCUAAUACCGCAUAAAAACUUUAAACACAAGUUUUAAGUUUGAAAGAUGCAAUUGCAUCACUCAAAGAUGAUCCCGCGUUGUAUUAGCUAGUUGGUGAGGUAAAGGCUCACCAAGGCGAUGAUACAUAGCCGACCUGAGAGGGUGAUCGGCCACAUUGGGACUGAGACACGGCCCAAACUCCUACGGGAGGCAGCAGUAGGGAAUCUUCGGCAAUGGACGAAAGUCUGACCGAGCAACGCCGCGUGAGUGAAGAAGGUUUUCGGAUCGUAAAACUCUGUUGGUAGAGAAGAACGUUGGUGAGAGUGGAAAGCUCAUCAAGUG